AGUAGUGAAGUAAAAUUAUACAUUUAGUUUCGACCUAAAAUUAAGAGCAAUCUCCUUACUU
rnacentral:tRNA from 1 species